rnacentral:rRNA from 1 species
AUUGAACGCUGGCGGCAGGCCUAACACAUGCAAGUCGAGCGGAUGAAGGGAGCUUGCUCCUGGAUUCAGCGGCGGACGGGUGAGUAAUGCCUAGGAAUCUGCCUUGUAGUGGGGGAUAACGUCCGGAAACGGGCGCUAAUACCGCAUACGUCCUGAGGGAGAAAGUGGGGGAUCUUCGGACCUCACGCUCUCAGAUGAGCCUAGGUCGGAUUAGCGAGUUGGUGGGGUAAAGGCCUACCAAGGCGACGAUCCGUAACUGGUCUGGGAGGAUGAUCAGGCACACUGGAACUGAGACACGGUCCCGACUCCUACGGGAGGCAGCAGUGGGGAAUAUUGGACAAUGGGCGAAAGCCUGAUCCAGCCAUGCCGCGUGUGUGAAGAAGGUCUUCGGAUUGUAAAGCACUUUAAGUUGGGAGGAAGGGCAGUAAGUUAAUACCUUGCUGUUUUGACGUUACCAACAGAAUAAGCAACGGCUAACUUCGUG